CGAAUGCUGACAUAAGUAACGAUAAAGCGGGUGAAAAGCCCGCUCGCCGGAAGACCAAGGGUUCCUGUCCAACGUUAAUCGGGGCAGGGUGAGUCGACCCCUAAGGCGAGGCCGAAAGGCGUAGUCGAUGGGAAACAGGUUAAUAUUCCUGUACUUGGUGUUACUGCGAAGGGGGGACGGAGAAGGCUAUGUUGGCCGGGCGACGGUUGUCCCGGUUUAAGCGUGUAGGCUGGUUUUCCAGGCAAAUCCGGAAAAUCAAGGCUGAGGCGUGAUGACGAGGCACUACGGUGCUGAAGCAACAAAUGCCCUGCUUCCAGGAAAAGCCUCUAAGCAUCAGGUAACAUCAAAUCGUACCCCAAACCGACACAGGUGGUCAGGUAGAGAAUACCAAGGCGCUUGAGAGAACUCGGGUGAAGGAACUAGGCAAAAUGGUGCCGUAACUUCGGGAGAAGGCACGCUGAUAUGUAGGUGAAGUCCCUCGCGGAUGGAGCUGAAAUCAGUCGAAGAUACCAGCUGGCUGCAACUGUUUAUUAAAAACACAGCACUGUGCAAACACGAAAGUGGACGUAUACGGUGUGACGCCUGCCCGGUGCCGGAAGGUUAAUUGAUGGGGUCAGCGCAAGCGAAGCUCUUGAUCGAAGCCCCGGUAAACGGCGGCCGUAACUAUAACGGUCCUAAGGUAGCGAAAUUCCUUGUCGGGUAAGUUCCGACCUGCACGAAUGGCGUAAUGAUGGCCAGGCUGUCUCCACCCGAGACUCAGUGAAAUUGAACUCGCUGUGAAGAUGCAGUGUACCCGCGGCAAGACGGAAAGACCCCGUGAACCUUUACUAUAGCUUGACACUGAACAUUGAGCCUUGAUGUGUAGGAUAGGUGGGAGGCUUUGAAGUGUGGACGCCAGUCUGCAUGGAGCCGACCUUGAAAUACCACCCUUUAAUGUUUGAUGUUCUAACGUGGACCCGUGAUCCGGGUUGCGGACAGUGUCUGGUGGGUAGUUUGACUGGGGCGGUCUCCUCCUAAAGAGUAACGGAGGAGCACGAAGGUUGGCUAAUCCUGGUCGGACAUCAGGAGGUUAGUGCAAUGGCAUAAGCCAGCUUGACUGCGAGCGUGACGGCGCGAGCAGGUGCGAAAGCAGGUCAUAGUGAUCCGGUGGUUCUGAAUGGAAGGGCCAUCGCUCAACGGAUAAAAGGUACUCCGGGGAUAACAGGCUGAUACCGCCCAAGAGUUCAUAUCGACGGCGGUGUUUGGCACCUCGAUGUCGGCUCAUCACAUCCUGGGGCUGAAGUAGGUCCCAAGGGUAUGGCUGUUCGCCAUUUAAAGUGGUACGCGAGCUGGGUUUAGAACGUCGUGAGACAGUUCGGUCCCUA
rnacentral:rRNA from 1 species